GAUGAAGAACGCAGCGAAAUGCGAUAAGUAAUGUGAAUUGCAGAAUUCAGUGAAUCAUCGAAUCUUUGAACGCACAUUGCGCCCGGCAGUACUCUGCCGGGCAUGCCUGUUCGAGCGUCAUUUCAACCCUCAAGCCCUGCUUGGUGUUGGGGCCCCACGGCUGCCGUGGGCCCUGAAAGGAAGUGGCGGGCUCGCUACAACUCCGAGCGUAGUAAUUCAUUAUCUCGCUUAGGGCGUAGGGCGGCGCUCCAGCCGUUAAAGAACCAUCUUUAACUCAAGGUUGACCUCGGAUCAGGUAGGAAUACCCGCUGAACUUAAGCAUAUCAAUAAGCGGAGGA
rnacentral:misc_RNA from 1 species